rnacentral:rRNA from 1 species
AUUGAACGCUGGCGGCAUGCUUUACACAUGCAAGUCGAACGGCAGCACGGGGGCAACCCUGGUGGCGAGUGGCGAACGGGUGAGUAAUACAUCGGAACGUACCCAGUGGUGGGGGAUAACCUACCGAAAGGUAGGCUAAUACCGCAUAAGCUCGAGAGAGGAAAGCGGGGGACCGCAAGGCCUCGCGCGACUGGAGCGGCCGAUGUCCGAUUAGCUAGUUGGUGGGGUAAAGGCUUACCAAGGCGACGAUCGGUAGCUGGUCUGAGAGGAUGAUCAGCCACACUGGGACUGAGACACGGCCCAGACUCCUACGGGAGGCAGCAGUGGGGAAUUUUGGACAAUGGGGGCAACCCUGAUCCAGCCAUGCCGCGUGAGUGAAGAAGGCCU